rnacentral:lncRNA from 1 species
UCCCCCGUAACCAUAGCGACGCGGCUGGCGUGGUCGGUUUUAUGCAGUCUGCAUAAAGGACAUGGAAGAAGGAAGUUCUUCGCCCUUCUCCUGCUUGCCCUCCCUCCCUGGCUGGCGACUUGAAUCCUAAAUGGGCACAAGUACCUACUUCUUCAGGAUUUCAGCUUAUACUGAAGACAUCUGAGACACCCAGCCUCACUGACUGAACGCUACUGGAUUUGUGGACUUUCUAUUUGUUGGCAGCCAUUGUUGUUUAGCUAGACUACAGGCUGUAAGCCACUUUAAUAAAUCCCUUUUUUUAUGUGGAUUUGUUCUCAGUUCAGUUGCUCUAGAGAAUCCUGACUAGUACAGUGUCCUUGAGUUAUCAUAUUUCUUCUUCAUGGCCUGAUUUGCAUCAAAUUAUAUGUGUAUGGGUGUGUGAGUAAGCAUGGUUGAAUAUGAGCAUAUGUGAAGGGGUGUAUGUAUGUAUGUGUGUGUGUGUGUCUUCCUGUAGAAUUGUCCACGCUCACCGUUUUCCUCGGAGGCUUGCCUGUGCUUGUGCUGUUUUACCUGAGAUAUGGUGUCCUGGUGAGUGUCACUGCCAUGCCUGCCUUCUUUCUUCUGUGUAUUUAGACUAAUUCAUUCUGUUAGCUCUUGGAUGAUUAGAGCAACAUGAGGUGCUCCAAUUGCUACCCUCCAAAUUUACACACUGUGGGGUAGGAAAGUGGGUUCUGUUUCUUCCCAUGUAACUGCAAGAAAGUUGGAUUCCGAGCCUAGAGAAUGCCACAGUGGAAGGUUUGCAACUAAUGAUCACAUUUACAAGUUAAUUUAUGAUACCCAAUACUGUUCUGUCUCAGAAAUAAUAACCCUAGUUGCUCAGGCCAACAACCUAGGAAGCAUGUUUGACUCUUCCAGCCCCUGUCAUCCACUGGAGAGCACGGCUCACCAGUGUUGCAGGGCUGCGUUGUCAUCUCACCUGCUAGGGUCCUGAACUUGGGCAUGCCAGGAGCUUCCCCUACCAGAGCCACAGCCAGAUCCAUACUGUUACUGAGAUAAAACCCCAGGAGUCUGUUUAAUGUUAGAAAUUAUAGUUUAGGAUCCGUGGGGCCAUCUUUCAAUGUCUUAGAGCAAAGUAUCUGUCUGUAUAGCCAGCAAGGCCUUGCAGAUUUCUGCCUCAUUGUACUGAUCUACUCCUCUAGUCAGACAGGAGUUGUCCUGUUGAAGCAAGCAUUUGCCCAUGGAAGGCACCAGCACCAGACCAACAAACAAAAGCACCAGCUAGGUAGAAACUUCCAAGCCACAGUGGCUGGAGUGCGGGGAGAAUGGAGAAUUUAUAUUCUAAUUUAGAUCACACUGUUAGUUCACAAAGCAACAGAAACACUCUUCCAGUGUUUGAGCUGGAGGAAAGAGGCAGGUGUCCUGAAGAGGAGGGAAAUUUCCUAGUGCGUGGUGGCCAUGCAGGCUCCUCACAGCUAUGCACAAAGUGCCUGGUGUGUCAAGUCUGUCCUGUGUUCAUUCAUCUUGGGUCUUCAUAGUUGCCUGCUGUGUGGCAGGUCAGGCCUGUGCUCAUCUUGUGUUAGAGUUUGAUAGACAUUUGUUCUUCAGCAGGCCCGUGGUAGUCUGAGCUAUGAAACGGAGGUCUUUGAAACUCUGGAAUUACUAGUACAACAUAAGCUUCACACUUGGGCCUAAGAAAGACUUUCUGAAUAAUUUUGACAGUGCAGUCAGCGAAAAUCAUUGCUAGCUAUUUGUUUGAGAGGAUUGUUGCUUGGAAUAUACAAAGGCUCCCCCCCCC